rnacentral:rRNA from 1 species
UACGGGGGGGGCAAGCGUUGUUCGGAAUUACUGGGCGUAAAGGGCUCGUAGGCGGCCAACUAAGUCAGACGUGAAAUCCCUCGGCUUAACCGGGGAACUGCAUCUGAUACUGGAUGGCUUGAGAUUGGGAGAGGGAUGCGGAAUUCCAGGUGUAGCGGUGAAAUGCGUAGAUAUCUGGAGGAACACCGGUGGCGAAGGCGGCAUCCUGGACCAACACUGACGCUGAGGCACGAAAGCCAGGGGAGCAAACGGG